UAUAACACACAAGCACCAAAAAAAAGUAACAUUUCGAUAUCUUUCAGAUUUUGUAUUUCUUGUUAUUCGCUUUCUACGUAUUAAUAUGACCGUUUAAAGGAAAAACACCUACAUAUCAAAUUGGUUUCAAUGUAAACAACUAUCAUAAUAGGGAAUAAAGUAGCGUCAUCUCUAUGCAAAUUUUUACCGUUACGCAAUAUGUAAAUUAGAAAUUCCACUACUUCUCCUGUAAUAUCAGGAGAAGUAGUGGAAUAUUACCAAAAUUUUAUUAUUCUAUCCAAACCAAUCGUUUUCCAGAUCCCCCGCACUAUAAAAGAGACUACAACCCUAUUCACCUCACAAUCGCUUGACCAUCUCAAGAGAUUUUAUUUUUUGAAAAUAAUGAUGGCAUCGAGACAUUUCUUCGGAAAUGGACAAUAUGUCCAGUUGUCAGUAUAUAGGGGUGUAACCUAUGUCCAUAUAAAUGGACGCAAUAACAGGUGCACCACCGUGAGUGUGGACGAAUUCAUGGACAUGGUGCAGAACUAUGCACUAAUGGCAGAUAUCCAGUCCCAUAUAAAAAAGGUACGUAUGAAAGUUACUUUAUGAAAUUCAUUUUUUCAUUAACUCACAAAUUGAAGAAUAUAAAAUAAUGUCAUCUUUAAAACAAAUAACUAGUCAAAGCAAUUAACAUGAUGUUUUGGAUUGUAUAUCCUGAUACUAUAAAUGAUUAAAUUAUUUCCAUGUUUAGGAGUCUUCCAAACGAAUUGAUACUACACCGCCACAGACACCGGUCCCAUUGGGACCACAGCUGGUGACAGCACCACCACCGCCGCCGCCACAGACACCGGUCCCAUUGGGACCACAACUGGUGACAGCAUCACCACCACCGCCGCCACAGACACAGGUCCCAUUGGGACCACAACUGGUGACAGCAUCACCACCACCGCCGCCACAGACACAGGUCCCAUUGGGACCACAACUGGUUACCCCACCAGUAACAAAGGUGCUAUUUUCUUUGCAUUACUGUAAUACUGUCGCAUUAAUCAUAUAGCAUUUCAUAUUUCCAUCAUAUUGUUUCACAUCGAAUAACUUAAUUUGUUUUACUGUUACAGAAAAGGAAGAGGGAUGAAGAGCCAUCCGAAGACCUGCAGAGAAAGAGGGUGAGGUUGGAAUCGCCUGAAAGAAUCGACGUUCUGACAUCUGACUUCCACACAGUAUCCAUAGAUGAGGAAAUGUUCAAGGCCCUUAUUACCUCAUUAGACAUGUAAAGUGAGUAACUGAGUUUUCUCCUUUUCAUUUUAACUCUUUUUCAACUUGAAUAAUUGUUAAUAUUUUCUACAAUUCGAUUUUUUCUUUUAUUGAAAUAUCUGUGGUAAAAUAUUUGUUCUCUCUCUUUUCAGAUCUCCAAAAUAAAUGAAACGAAUCGUAAAAUACGUGUUUGUUCUAUA